GUAGGUACUUUCAAAAAAAAUGUCCAAACUUAAGUUUACUACCAAACCCUAUUAUUACUCGAACGUGCUUAAUGCUGCCUUCUAUUAUUUCUAUUAUGGUAAGAACUUUAACAAAGUUGAAGAAGUUGUCGGCACAUUUAACAAAAAAAUGUUACAAAGUCUGUUCAAAAUGCACAACAAUAUUAUUUAACCGAGUUAUCAUCACAAAUGAACUUUCAGUAAUUCUAUCGAAUUCCCAAUGCAUAACAGACACCAUCCCGUGUCUAGAAAAAUCGGACGUUAAUCUUGGAAAAAAAUUUGAGUGAAGAUGGAAGAGACAUUGGUUUGGCCAAACUUAAACUAUUGGAAGUAUGAUUAACAAAUCCCGGAUUAUCACAAAUAAAAAAAAAUGUCUGAAAUUAUAAGCGGAGAAACAAAUGAUAAUAAAAACCUUGCCAACUGUCACCUGAAAACAUUUCUUGUUUCAAACAUGCAUCAAUUGUGUCAACGGAUAUGGAAAGGAGCUUUUCGA